AGUGAACGCUGGCGGUAGGCCUAACACAUGCAAGUCGAACGGCAGCACAGCAGUAGCAAUACUGUGGGUGGCGAGUGGCGGACGGGUGAGGAAUACAUCGGAAUCUACCUUUUCGUGGGGGAUAACGUAGGGAAACUUACGCUAAUACCGCAUAAGACCUUCGGGUGAAAGUGGGGGACCUUCGGGCCUCACGCGGAUAG
rnacentral:rRNA from 1 species